rnacentral:rRNA from 1 species
UAAGUAAAAGUCGUAACAAGGUCUCCGUUGGUGAACCAGCGGAGGGAUCAUUAACGACUCACGCAGGCCCCCCGGAGGGCCGAAGCCUGCGAUGCCCGUGCGAACCAAAGCUCUUGUUGCCUCGGGGCCCCCGGGGCCCCGCAGGCCCCUCCCGAACUCUCCUCUGUACCGGACGCUCCGGGACCCUACGAACCAGCCACAACUCCCGGCAACGGAUCUCUUGGCUCCGGCAACGAUGAAGGACGCAGCGAAAUGCGAUACGUAGUGCGAAUUGCAGAUCUCCGCGAGCCAUCGAACCUCUGAACGCACAUGGCGCCCGCCGGACCCUCCCGGCGGGCACGCCCGUCCGAGCGUCGGUUUCUCCCCUCCCCCCGGGCCCUGCCUGGGUGCUGGGACCCCACAGCCGCUGUGGGGCCCCGAAACGCAGAGGCGGCCGCCCCGCAGGCACCUGGCGAAGCAAGAACAAACUGCGCCUCGGCCGCGCGGCCGGCCCGCCACGUGCACACUACCAGACGGCCUCGGAUCGGGCGGGACGACCCGCUGAACUUAAGCAUAUCAGUAAGCGGAGGAAAAGAAACCAACCA